rnacentral:rRNA from 1 species
AUUAAAAACCAAUGCCCUUCGGGGCUCACUGGUGAUUCAUAAUAACUUCUCGAAUCGCACGGCCUUGCGCCGGCGAUGGUUCAUUCAAAUUUCUGCCCUAUCAACUUUCGACGGCUGGGUCUUGGCCAGCCGUGGUGACAACGGGUAACGGAGGGUUAGGGCUCGACCCCGGAGAAGGAGCCUGAGAAACGGCUACUACAUCCAAGGAAGGCAGCAGGCGCGCAAAUUACCCAAUCCCGACACGGGGAGGUAGUGACAAUAAAUACUGAUACAGGGCUCUUUCGGGUCUUGUAAUUGGAAUGAGUACAAUUUAAAUCCCUUAACGAGGAACAAUUGGAGGGCAAGUCUGGUGCCAGCAGCCGCGGUAAUUCCAGCUCCAAUAGCGUAUAUUAAAGUUGUUGAGGUUAAAAAGCUCGUAGUUGAACCUUGGGCCUAGCCGGCCGGUCCGCCUCACCGCGUGCACUGGCUCGGCUGGGUCUUUCCUUCUGGAGAACCGCAUGCCCUUCACUGGGUGUGCC